rnacentral:piRNA from 1 species
AAUGCCACUGAGGUACUUUCAGG